rnacentral:pre_miRNA from 1 species
GUAGUAUUCCCUCCGUCCCAAAAUUCUUGUCUUACAUUUGUUUAGAUACGGAUGUAUCUAACACUAAAAUGUAACUAGAUACAUCCGUAUUUAGACAAAUUUAAGACAAGAAUUUUGGGACGGAGGGAGUACANA